AGUUUUGAGCUAAAUAUAUUAUAAUAUUAGUUUAUUUAUGAAGGUGUUGUAAAACCUUAUUUAAAAUUAUAUUUAGGGGUGAUAGGCCUUUCAAAAACUAAGAUAUCUUGAAUCUAAUUAAAAGUAUGUAGUACAUUCAACACAACUAUUAAGUGAUUAGGCUUUAUAGAACUAUUAACUUAUAAGGAUUUUUAUUUAUUAUAAUUUAAUAAUUAAGUAUAUAAAUAGAAUAAUAUACAUAUAUUAUAGUUUAUAAGGAGUAAUUAGAUAAAUUAAAGUUCAUAAAUUUUGUAAUAAUGUUAAUAUUAGUAUUAAGUUUAUAUUUAUAUGAUGAACUCGGCAAAAAUGUUUCUCAACUGUUUAUCAAAAACAUAACUAUGUGUAUAAAUACAUAGCGGUUUCUGCUCAA
rnacentral:rRNA from 1 species